GCCGGUCAGGGUCUUCACCAAGAUCUGCAUCCCACCUCUGAGACGCUGCACCAGGUGCAGGGUGGACUCCUUCUGGAUGUUGUAGUCAGACAGGGUGCGCCCAUCUUCCAGCUGCUUGCCGGCAAAGAUCAACCUCUGCUGGUCGGGGGGGAUGCCCUCCUUGUCUUGGAUCUUCGCC